CUUGUGAAGACAUGCUUCCUUAUAUGCCCAUAUUAAUGCUCAAGUUAUGGAAUGUAAGGAAGUGUGUGGUUUCAGG
rnacentral:pre_miRNA from 8 species